rnacentral:tRNA from 1 species
GCCUGAGAAGCUCAAUGGUUGAGCAGAGUUUUGAAGAAGCUUUUGUUGUAAGUUCGAAUCUUACCUUGGGCA